rnacentral:rRNA from 1 species
UCUAAUCGAUCAACCACUCCAUUGCCGAGUGGUUCCGCUGCUAGACAUCGACCAAACUCUUCUACUAGUCGGUGUGACCCUGACUCUGUGCCGGGUCUGAGGAUGCCCUCCGUCGUCACCCCUUAUAACCUGUUACCCCCGUUGGGACUAGGUCGUUACGGCGCACUCACUUCUUCCGGAAUCCCAACAUUUCGAGAAAAUGGGCCCUUCUAUUACUGACAUGGCCCUCUUAUUCGGGGCCGAUUGAGGCACGGUCGUCGGCGCCAUUAUGCCUCCCCCGAUCGCAACAAGCCUUAAUGACCCGCAUUUCGCGCGCAUCCGCCGAACGGUUCAACCCCCACUUUAGGGCCCCGAAUUGGGGCCUUAACGGAAGUUUUGACCGUCCGAACUCCGGCUCUCUCCAUUCCCCUUAAGGAUCACAUCUCCACUUUAAGCAUCUAUAAUCCCUCUUGUGGCCACCGCUUCCGCGGAAUGACCGAGCCUGGACUGCGACUCCACGCUUUCGCACCCCUCGUUUGUCCUAAUCUAUGGGACCAUCAGGUGCGGCAUUUGCUACUCACGAUCUACAACCCCAGGAAUCCCGAAGUCACAGCGUCGAUUGCGUAAUUCGUGAGGCG